rnacentral:piRNA from 1 species
UGAGAGGGACACAUAUUUAACCAGAAAGUA